rnacentral:lncRNA from 1 species
UAAAAAAGAGGUGCAAUGCUCGUUAAUUUGCUUUAAGCCAUUCGGAAUAGUGUAAACUGCACUGCGCAUAGCUCCAUGCAGUCUACCGUAUUCCUGAAGGCUUGAAGCUAAGCAACGUGAACAUUGAGCCUCUUCUUCAUCGUCUCUGCACUCAGAGCUUAUAAACCGCUCCUAGUCCCUCUCACUUCGCGAGGUGGGACUAAAAAACAGCUUGCCAUAACCUCAUAAAUCCGAAUACUUCGAAAGAGAUUGUCCAGUUUGUAAAUGAAGUGCAUCCAGUUUUUGCCGUAACCCUCUCUACUUUUUUGAACAUGAUAUGUGGGUGAAAUGAUGAUACCAUGCCAAGUUUCAACUUUUUCAGAGUUCAUUUGUAGUGCUUUUCAAUUUCCAGGUCAUUUAGUUCUCAAAACAAAUAGCAAAUGAAGGCAUAAACGGUUGAAAGUUGAUGGUGUCGCUUUGAAUGAUGUAUACUGAACGCAAAAAAUAUAAGAGCAUUUAGAUCAUGAUCUUAUAUUUCUUUACAGUCUAAAUUGUCAAUAUGAUCUUAUAACAUCAAAAAUACUUUGAUCAUCAAUGAUCUUUGUGUGUACAAUCUGAAUUGUCAAUAUGAGUCAUCAACGAUUUAUAAACCGAUGAAGACUCAUAUUGCGGCCACAAAUUCUACACAUAGAGUUCAAUGAAGACCAAGUGCUUGUGAUAGUUUGAGAAAUAACAUAUUUAAGGUGGUAAAAGGCUUGUUAGGGGAGCGAGGUGGGACUAAAAACAGCUUGCCAUAACCUCAUUAGUACCGGUUCGUGGUACGAACCGGCAC